rnacentral:rRNA from 1 species
AUGGCGUCCUCAUCCACCAUUUCCCUCAACCUUGGUGCUCUCCCAUCUGAGAAGCUCACCAAGACCAACUUCAUCCUAUGGAAGGCACAGGUCAUGCUGGGCUUGCGAGGAGCGCAGGUCACCGGCCUCCUGGACGGAUCAGAUGCAGCGCCACCAAAGACGGUGCAGCAGCAGCAUGCGGACAAAACCACCGCCCCAGAACCCAAUCCUCUGUAUGCGCAGUGGAUAUCAAAAGAUCAGCAAGUUCUGAGCCAUCUCCUGAAUUCUCUGUCAAUGGAGAUCCUCGCCCAAGUUGCGAGCAAGGAGACGAUGUUCGAUCUCUGGACUGCCAUCACUACCCUGUUCGCCUCGCAGUCCCAAUCGCGCAUCACCAACCUACGCAUCGCCAUCGCCAACACAAAGAAAGGCUCCAUGUCCAGCAACGCCUUUAUCUCCAAGAUGAAGAGCUUGGGAGAUGAGCUUGCAGCGGCAGGUCGCCCCGUCUCGGACCCGGAGAUGGUGGACUAUGUUUUUGCCGGCCUCGACAGAGAUUAUGACCCUGUUGUGGCAGCGAUCGGUGCGGUAAAGAACCAAAUCUUUGUGGACGAUCUAUUCGCUCAUAUUGCGGCGUUCGAUCAGCGCAUGGAGAUGCUCGGCGAUGGUCCUGAAGCCGGCUUCAAAACUUCUGCCAAUAUGGUAUACAGAGGGUGCGGGCGCGGCUAUGGCAGAGGACGCGGACGCAGCAACAGGGGCCGCGGCCGAGGCAGGCGCCCUUCCCCAACUCCAUCUGGCGGCAACAACGGCGGCGGCGCCCGUGGUCGUCCACAACAGCAGCGUCAGCAACAAUCCGGAACUAUCCAGAAUGCCAGAUAUGUUACAAGCACCAUCCAGGAGGUGCUCGUGACUGUUGGCACAGGUACGAUGAAGACGAACAGGAGGAGAAGGGGGCCAACAUGGUCACUGACUCCUACGGUGUCGACACAAAUUGGUAUGCGGAUACCGGGGCUACAAACCACAUCACGGGGGAGCUCGACAAGCUGA